rnacentral:lncRNA from 1 species
CUUUGUAAGGAAGUGAACGUGCAACUUGUUGCAACGAACUGCAUCAUCUGACAGUAUAUUUGACAACUUCACAAUUACCUCACGCUCUUAAAAUUUGCAAAGUGGUUUCAACUAAUUAGUCCACUAUGUUCACUAGAGAAUAUACUUGUCAUACAGUCAAGGGAACACCCAAGCAUAUGACAAUGGCCUUUUUUUUUUACUUGCUACCUUUUCUACAUACUGCUCAGGCUGCAUGCCUGCAUCAGAUUUUUAGAUGCACUUUACUGCCAAAGCUUUUAGAACACGGGAACAGUGAAAAACUUUCAGCCAGAGCACACAUCCUGAAACUGAAAAGUUAUAUAUCUAGGCUGCUAUUGUGCUCCAAAAACUAUCUGCAGCCAGCCAGAUAUGCACCUGCUUAGCAUUCAACAGAUUAACACUGCUAAUUACAGUCUUUCUGGUUCCAGUUUGACACGCUCAGCAAGGUGAACUCAGUUGUGCUGCUUGCUUGGUUGCGCCACAGCAACAUUCCUUGCAACGUCAAGACCAAGAAGAGCGACAUCCUCUUCAAGAUAAUUCAGCAUGCUGCAUCAGGGUGACAGCAGCAAGAUUACUGGAAGAAGCUUUUUUUUAUUUCUCUUCUCGGGUUGUUUUAUUCGACAAAAUAAAGCAUGCCGCCAUAGCAGUCUUUACCACUUUCUUGUCCAUCCACUGUAGUGUCGCAGAACAUUUCUUGUGGCACCACUGACCUUUGCAACAGGUAUUUACACUAUUCACAACAUACUCCAUACAGCAUCCUGAACAAGUUAGGUGUUCCUGUCUGGCCUGGUAGAAUGACUCUGCCUAUGAUGGUUAUGUACAAUAUUUACAUGUUGGCCUUGUCCUGGGACAGAGACACACUGUACACUUUAAUACAAGUAACGUUGUGACCUCUCCUGUCUCACAAUUCACUGCUCGCAGGGUCUUGUACUAAGACAUCAAAACUGUGCUGCUCCUUUACACACAGGCACGUGCCACCAUGUGCCACCAACAGCCAUUUCACUACUGACAAAAGGAACUCAGUACCACUGCCACGUAAUUUAGCACAACCUAAUGUAGGUCCAGCUUGAAGGCAAAAACACAGAAGCAGAAAUGCUUAUUGCAAUGGUGUUGAGCCCUCUAACUUGGAAGGCAGACACUUGGUGAACAACAGAGAAGCAGCAAUUUGAAAGAUGGCAGUUGGUGCUAACUAUUGUUGCCUUAAUGCACUGCAAUGUUUUUGAGUAUUAAAUAAUUGGCACCCUUGAAACGCCUUUCAUAUACGCCACAUUUUGCCCCAGGCAACAAUGUUCUCAAGAAGAAACAAAUGAUGUGGACAAACAAAACACAGCUUUGAAUUCUCACAUGUUGCACACACAUUAUAAAAAGAAUAAAAACAGAGAACCAAGACAGGCCUAGAAAUAAAAUAGCCUACUAGAAAAAGGCAUCAAAGUUAUACUUAAUUUUCCUUCCAACUUUGGGCUUCUUUUCAAACUUUACCCGUAGACCCUUAAGUUACUAUGCAAGCCACCUGCAAGACAGCAAUAGAAUGCACAUGGUUUUCAGUUGCUGCCAAUAUAAAAAGCUGCACAAGCAUAGCUUAAACAUGAACAAGCAGCAAAUUACAUUCAGGACUAUCCCAAAGCAGGGAAUAGCCCAGUAGAAGCUUGGUAAAGAUGUUAUGUGACAUAACUUACUGCUCUGAUCAUUACAGAAAUCAAAAAAGAUGUAGGAAGGAGGAUUCUGAAAAAAAAAAUGUCAAUCAAAAGUGCCACCCAUUGCAGUUGUUUGCAUAUAAUCAUUUGCAGCACAUGAUGUCAAUGUCACCUACAGUCAGCC